rnacentral:lncRNA from 1 species
GAAUUAGCAGAAAUCGAAAGGUUUUUACCCAAAACUCCGCUCUGAUACCUCCUAAAGCGAAAUAGGCACGCGCACGGGUAGAGAGUCUGCCUGAGUCGUGCGGCCCCAGGUAACGCCUAGUUUAGUGUAGCACCUGGGUUCCGCCUUCUCCUUGCCUUGCCGAGUUUUGCUUCUGAUCUCUCUCUGACUCUCUAGUUCGUUACCUUUUACUACCGAUCUUCUCCCUCUGCUGCUACUGGAGCUAGCUUCGGUAGUUACACUUUCUGUCUCGCGUAAGAAAGAGAGUUUAGAGUGCCAUACAAAGAACGUGGGUGUAGCGAUAACCAAAGUGGACUCUACUAGAAAGUAAAGAUGAUGUGGUUCUUAAAAAGAAACAGUUAGAGAAGGUUCAAUUGGCCGAAAUGAAUUUCUAGAUUCGCAGAUUUGUCGACAUCAAGUUCGUAAAAAGAACCAAAUUCUUGUUGGCGAUUAUUUACGAUCAAAAAAAUAAAAUUCUGAAAACUCCUUUGUCUUAUUUAUACUCUUCUUCAAAAUCUACAUACUAUGUGGUACAAGGGAUUCCCAGCAUCUCGUGAAACAGUUAGAGAAGGUUCAAUUGGCCGAAAUGAAUUUCUAGAUUCGCA